ACUACGGGAGGCUGCAGUGGGGAAUAUUGGGCAAUGGGCGCAAGCCUGACCCAGCAACGCCGCGUGAAGGAAGAAGGCUUUCGGGUUGUAAACUUCUUUUCUCAGGGACGAAGCAAGUGACGGUACCUGAGGAAUAAGCCACGGCUAACUACGUGCCAGCAGCCGCGGUAAUACGUAGGUGGCAAGCGUUAUCCGGAUUUACUGGGUGUAAAGGGCGUGUAGGCGGGAAAGCAAGUCAGAUGUGAAAACCAUGGGCUCAACCUGUGGCCUGCAUUUGAAACUGUUUUUCUUGAGUACUGGAGAGGCAGACGGAAUUCCUAGUGUAGCGGUGAAAUGCGUAGAUAUUAGGAGGAACACCAGUGGCGAAGGCGGUCUGCUGGACAGCAACUGACGCUGAGGCGCGAAAGCGUGGGGAGCAAACAGGAUUAGAUACCCCUGUAGUC
rnacentral:rRNA from 1 species